AAAAACAAAAAAUGUAAACUCAAUUAUCUAGAGGUAAUUGGCCAUUGCAAAUACUUUGAGAUCAUGCACGUGAUCAUCUAUUUUCCUCUUGAAACUUGUAUAUUUGUUGUAGUUUAUUCUCCAAUGAAGAAGGUCAUCUGACAGAUAUCAGAAGCAAGAAAUGCAGGCAAAUCUUCCAAAUUAUUAGCUUAUUCACACCACCCAAUCAACUAGAACUUCCCUUAAGGAUAAUAACUGAAAAGAAUUCAUAAUAUAAAAGCAGAUUAUAUAGCAUGACAUUCAUUCACAUGAAGGUAUACCACAACUACCAACUUCAGAAAUCAAUGCAGGAUCUAGCACCAAGUCUAACGACACCAUUUGGUGUGUGGCAAAGCCAGUUGUCUCAAAAAUAGGCCACCAAGAGAAUUUUCCUUUUAGGACAUUGAGGAGUUCCUUAAAACUGGAGGGAUCGAAGAGGUAAUGGAUGCGAUAAAGGAAUUAUGUACAAAAAAACUAUCUAGAGGGACCAAAACAAGACAAAUCAGAGAGAAAAAGGACUAGAUACGCUAUUAACCUUUUUUGCACAAAACACUUCAUUGCCUUGCCAAAUAACCAAUCAAUGUGUUCCUUAAAACAAUAUGUACUAAAUUUUCCUUAAAAAAUAUCAUCUUAGCCUCAGUGCAUUACCUUUUUUUUUAUAGAAAAAGAAAGAGGAAGAUCAUGAGAAAACAAUAACAGUAAAGAAACCCUGACCAUAUUCUAAAUUUCCAACGCAUUUCAAUAAAAGGAACACGGUUAGGCUAGGAUUCCCUUUUUACCAUACGAUCAUAAGUAAAGAACAUGAGAAGUCAUGGCUGCAAUAAAAGGCAUUAUGUGCAAAACAAUUAUCUAAAGGGACCAGAAUAAGAAAAAUCAGAAAACAGAGGGACUAUAUACGCCAUUAAUUCUUUUUGCACAGAACACCUCAUUGUCUUGCCAAAUAACCAAUAAAUUUGUUCCUUAAAACAAUAUGUAUGAACGUUGCAUUA